UACUACGGGAGGCAGCAGUGGGGAAUAUUGCACAAUGGGCGCAAGCCUGAUGCAGCCAUGCCGCGUGUAUGAAGAAGGCCUUCGGGUUGUAAAGUACUUUCAGCAGUGAGGAAGGUGGGUAUGUUAAUAGCAUACUCAUUUGACGUUAGCUGCAGAAGAAGCACCGGCUAACUCCGUGCCAGCAGCCGCGGUAAUACGGAGGGUGCGAGCGUUAAUCGGAAUUACUGGGCGUAAAGCGCAUGCAGGUGGAUGAUUAAGUCAGAUGUGAAAGCCCGGGGCUCAACCUCGGAAUAGCAUUUGAAACUGGUCAUCUAGAGUACUGUAGAGGGGGGUAGAAUUUCAGGUGUAGCGGUGAAAUGCGUAGAGAUCUGAAGGAAUACCGGUGGCGAAGGCGGCCCCCUGGACAGAUACUGACACUCAGAUGCGAAAGCGUGGGGAGCAAACAGGAUUAGAUACCCUGGUAGUCCACGCCCUAAACGAUGUCUACUUGGAGGUUGUGGCCUUGAGCCGUGGCUUUCGGAGCUAACGCGUUAAGUAAA
rnacentral:rRNA from 1 species